GUCGAACGGAGUUAUUAUUUCAGAAGCAAUUAGCUUGCUAAGAGCCGUAGAGAGGAUAACUUAGUGGCGGACGGGUGAGUAACGCGUGGGGAACCUGCCCUGCACCGGGGGAUAACACCUGGAAACAGGUGCUAAUACCGCAUAAGCGCACGAGGCCGCAUGGCCAGGUGUGAAAAACUAAGGUGGUGCAGGAUGGACCCGCGUCUGAUUAGCUUGUUGGUAGGGUAACGGCCUACCAAGGCGACGAUCAGUAGCCGGCCUGAGAGGGUGAACGGCCACAUUGGGACUGAGACACGGCCCAAACUCCUACGGGAGGCAGCAGUGGGGAAUAUUGGACAAUGGGGGAAACCCUGAUCCAGCGACGCCGCGUGAGUGAAGAAGUAUUUCGGUAUGUAAAGCUCUAUCAGCAGGGAAGAAAAUGACGGUACCUGACUAAGAAGCCCCGGCUAACUACGUGCCAGCAGCCGCGGUAAUACGUAGGGGGCAAGCGUUAUCCGGAUUUACUGGGUGUAAAGGGAGCGUAGACGGCUGUGCAAGUCUGAAGUGAAAGCCCAUGGCUCAACCGCGGAACUGCUUUGGAAACUGUAUAGCUUGAGUACUGGAGAGGCAGGCGGAAUUCCUAGUGUAGCGGUGAAAUGCGUAGAUAUUAGGAGGAACACCAGUGGCGAAGGCGGCCUGCUGGACAGAAACUGACGUUGAGGCUCGAAAGCGUGGGGAGCAAACAGGAUUAGAUACCCUGGUAGUCCACGCGGUAAACGAUGAAUGCUA
rnacentral:rRNA from 1 species